GUGCUCUUUUUGGCAGCACAUAUAUUAAAAUUGGAAUGAUGCAGAGAAGAUUAGCAUGGCCUCUGCACAAAGAUGACACAAAAUUCAUACAGCAUUCCAUAUUUUU
ensembl:snRNA U6 U6 spliceosomal RNA